ACCUUUCAUGUGUUGGUUAGUUAAACGUCAGAGUAGCGUACACUUUAUGGUGCAGGUAUUACCGCUGAAGGGUAAGGACAGACCGAUACAGAAGCACGCAGGGAAGGAAUUUACUUAAAAAGACACUAUGAUAAUUUUGCGAAAGAGGAAAAGUACCGCUUACUCUAUUUCCAUUAUUUUUCUUAAUAUCUGUUUCAAGUUGACUUGAGCACUGUUCCCAAAGGUCUUGGUUUUUUCCUCUGGCAGAAGUAGAGCUGCUUUUUCUAAAGUAUUGUCUGGUUUCCCUGAAGGUUCUCUUCUGACUCUGAUUGCUUUUAAAUGUCACUCUGCUGCUUAAGGCUACUAGUAGGUGGUCUGAGCUGAAUGUUUACUAUUAUAUGGCUUAUACCUAUACUUAUUUUCCAUGUCAGAUCCUGACCUAGUAACCUUCUUUCAAAAUGCCGAAGGUGAAAUUAAGUUUUAAAUGACUUGGUUGUCUAGGCAGAAUCACUAUUAAUCAGAACAGGAAAAUAAUAUUGGGAAGUGAACUUCCUUUGAUAGCAGUUUAAUACAUCAUAUAUUUUGGCAGACAAUUUCAUCUGAGCCUUAGGAUCACCUUGAAACUGGGGAUGUUUUUUGGCAAAACACAUUGCUGUCAUUGCAAUUUUCCGUAGUUUUUAGAAUUUUUAUCUGUUGCAGUUUUUGUUAUGACUUCAUUUUGAGGCCGUGUUGGUUUUUAGCCACCAUCUCAGCCAAUUCAUUUUAGCAAAUGAAUAUUUUUAGUAAAUACUGUGAAGACAGCGGGAGUUCUAAAAUAGUGAAAAUAAACAUUUAACUCGUGUACCUAAACUAGUGAUUCACUGAAAGCUUUAUUUACAUUUUCAUUUGCCUAUAAACUGAUGCUGGUUGCACAGAAAAAUUGUUUUGCCCUGUUUACACACAUACGAUUUGGGACUAAUACCUUGCAUUAUUAUCUUCACAUAAACAGGUUUAAUAGUUCAGCAUGCUUCUGAAUAAUGAAGAUAGUGAUUGCUGCAUACAAUUUCAUGCAGGCAGUGUGCAUGUAAUGAAAGGUCUCAAAACAUUCUAAAAGCUGAAGCCUCAAUUUUGAAAUGAUCCACAUAGAAACCAACUCCCGUUCUCUCUUGGGUUCUUGUGAAAUAAACAGGCCACCUUCCAGCCUCUUCCCCUCUCAUGCCUUCUCCCUCAGGCAAAGCGUCUCUUCUGUCUAGCAACCUCUGGAGACGUUUGUUACGGUAACAGAAUAGUCCAGGUCACGUCUAUCUACUGACAAAAGAAUAAUCAGCGCUGUUGGCAAAAAUCCUGUUCUUUCAUCUAUUCAUUUUGCCCAGUUUAGGUUUUGCUUGAACACGUUAUUGUGAAGAUGCUGUCUUGACAGCUCCUUAGACUGAAGUCCUCUUCAUCCACAGAAGUGGUACAGCAAAAGUAAUCAAGAUGAAAGGUGAGGAUUUUGCCUUUCCUGGCGUGCACUGUCCACCUGGAUUCUGACCUGGAAGGACUUCCUCGACUUGCAACACUGGUUAGGCAGAGCCAGGUCAAAGAGUUUCAGCACAUUUGAACUCUGACUCCCAAAGGAUGAGGACAAAAUAACGAGCACUGUCCUAUCAGUAAAGGUAUCUCGUGACUCCAUCGCUCUCACCACCACAGCUGACGCACCUGAGAAAUAUAUUCGCAGGGAACAAAAAUUCAGACCUCAGCUUAGGACGGGGCAAGGGACAACCUGUAAGGUCUGCAGUGAAGACUUAGCUCUCGGCAGUGACCCUGCCACUGGGAAAACCUCAGCACUGGGAACCAAUUGCCUGCGCUGGCUCUCAUAUUCAGAUCUCUGUCGCUAUGCUGGAACUGGUCAGUGCUUGUCAAUUAAUGGCAACAAGGUAAUUCCCUUAAAUUCUUGAAAAUAUUUUGACACGUGCAGUUUUUGUAAUUUUUCAGUUUCUUUUCCAAAAGUAGUUAUGGUCCCAAUCCUACAAAUUGUUUUCUUCUGAAUAAAACUCUGAAUUGUGAAAUAAAUUUCUGAAACCAUUGAAGCAUCUGCAGUAUGGAAAAUUUGGCUGGGA